rnacentral:rRNA from 1 species
UACGUAGGGCGCAAGCGUUGUCCGGAAUUAUUGGGCGUAAAGAGCUCGUAGGCGGCUUGUUGCGUCGGUUGUGAAAGCCCGGGGCUUAACCCCGGGUCUGCAGUCGAUACGGGCAGGCUAGAGUGUGGUAGGGGAGAUCGGAAUUCCUGGUGUAGCGGUGAAAUGCGCAGAUAUCAGGAGGAACACCGGUGGCGAAGGCGGGACUCUGGGCCGAUACUGAUGCUGAGGAGCGAAAGCGUGGGGAGCGAACAGG